CGGGGGAGGCCGGAUCCUGGGCUGUGUCCCGGCGCCCUGUGCUCCCGGGGCCUGCGCUGUUGGAUUUGCGCUCCCGGCCGCGCAGCCCCCU
rfam:Canis lupus familiaris chromosome 4, whole genome shotgun sequence.